AUUGACCGCUGGCGGCAGGCUUAACACAUGCAAGUCGAGCGAGCGGCGGACGGGUGAGUAAUGUCUGGGAAACUGCCUGAUGGAGGGGGCUAACUACUGGAAACGGUAGCUAAUACCGCAUACCCUCAGCUGCGCCCAGAUGGGAUUAGCUAGUAGGUGGGGUAAUGGCUCGCCUAGGCGACGAUCCCUAGCUGGUCUGAGAGGAUGACAAGCCAAACUGGGAGUGAGACACGGUCCAGACUCCUACGGGAGGCAGCAGUGGGGAAUAUUGCACAAUGGGCGCAAGCCUGAUGCAGCCAUGCCGCGUGUGUGAAGAAGGCCUUCGGGUGGAAAAGCACGUUCAGCGGGGAGGCGUUACUCGCAGAAGAAGCACCGGCGAACUCCGUGCCAGCAGCCGCGGUAAUAC
rnacentral:rRNA from 1 species